UUUUUUCUUUUCUUUGCUGAUUUCUCUAUCAAUGAAAUUGACCAUGUUGCACUAAGUUACCUACGGAUGUAUGCAUGCAGUCCGGGAACACUUUGGGGUGAACACCCAUCCGAACAAGUAGAGUCAAUAGUGAAGCAAUUAGGCCUACCAUUUAGCAAAAACCGAAUCCCAAACUAGUGCUCUCCGAACCAAGCUAGAUAGUCUCCUAUCACUAGGCUCACCAAUCAAUCUGAACUGAGAUUAUGAUUUAUUAUUCUUACAUAUUAAUAGAUCUUAAAAGAGCCAAGCAACGACUAGACAAGUCACUACUACAAACUGCCAAGCAACGUAGUAAGUUGCGCGGCAGCUGUUUUGGCAAAUAAAUAUGUUAUACCCAGUUAUUCCGAAGUCAUAAUCUCGAGCUAAAGCGAGCUGAAAAGCGGCAGCAACCAAUAGAUAGUUAUAACAAGUUAGAAACAAGUUAUGUGUUCGGGUGCUGAAAGCCAUGAGUUCCCAUAUUCCAUAUUAGCGGUGGGCUUACACCUCGCCCAACCGAAUCUAAGCCCUUUGAAGCGCCAGUAGUUGUUGCUGUGGCCACACCAACCCUUUAGUUCCACUCGCUCCUUACUUAUUUAUAUAGAACCUCCGGGCAAAGUAAACCUAUUCUGUAGAGGCAGAGUAAGCUAACCUUAAGGAGUCGGGGGAGCCCUCAACUUGAGAAAUCUCUGUGCGUGACGUGAGUAGGAAUCCUAGAGAAGAUAGAUCGAUUGAGACUAACUACCGUUCUAAGAUAUCUGCAGCGAGCAGCUGAAACUAAGGUAAGCUCUGAAUGAAGGCCCGAAACUAAGGUAAGCUCUGAAUGAAGGCCCUAAGAGUUGAUCGUGUCAUGUGCAAUGUCCAUCAAUGCUGGUUCAUUAAUGUCCAUUGAAUUAGACUCCUUCUCCCUUCCCUAAUACGAAAAAGAACUGAAAGAGAAAACUAGAAACUCACUCUCGUAUGGCUAGAGCCCUGGGCGGGUUAUUUUCCCUGUUGUUCUGUUCCCGCCACGAUAAAGACGCACGGAAGAGGUAUGCCCUGUAGAGGAUCCGUUGAGAGUGUGAGUUGAAGACCUGAUUGAUAGAUAUAACAGCGCUACCGCCAUGAAGACAGUUUCACGCCUGCCGCUCUUUUAGCUCGCUGACGUUUCACUCAGGCUCCUACCGCCCAGAACACAUCUAUUGUAAUAACACAAAAACAAGAAUUGUUAUAACUGGUCAUAACAUAUCUAUGCUGCUACUGCCGCGCAGUUUUUAGCUCGCUGCCGCCUCGAAGACAGGACUUGCUAACAGCCAAUUAAUAUAUAUUAUAUGAGUUCUGUACUUGCUAUGCGUUUGUAGUAGUAGCUUGGCGCGCCGUUGCUUGCCCUAUUACUAUUGCUACCGCCGAGAGCAUCUACGAAGACAGAACUUAGCUAUAGCUCCUGCCGUACAACGUCUUGCGCCGUUGCUUGGCCGUUAUGACUGUCACUUGCUGCCGCUAUUAUAGCUCGCUGACGCGACACAUUAGCAGCAAAACAGUACUGCCGCUCUUUUCACUCGCUACCGCGCAACAUUAGUAGUUGCUUGGUCGAACACAUAGCUUGUUUAUAACUUGUUAUGACAUAUCUAUGCUGUUGCUGCCGCGCAGCGGCUUGCUUAGUUGCUUUGCCCUUGGCGUCUAGUAGUUACUUGGCGCGCCGUUGUUUGGUUAGUAGUGGCUUGGUCAUUAGUAGUUACUUGUCUAGUAGUUGCUUGGCGGUCGUUAGUAGUUGCUUGGCUGUUUGUAGUAGUUGCUUGGUGGCUUGAAAUACAGGUAAGUGUUAGAGUUUGCUCCUAGCGCCUAACUCAAUUUGGUCUUUCGCUUUUGCAGGAUCUAUAGAGAUAUUAUGAGUCCUCCGUCCCGGAUUCCCUCGCCUAGGACAUCUGGGUUCACCGGUACUACCAAAGAGUCUCAUGCUGACGUUACUGUGACUGAUAUAUCUCCGACCACGAAGACCCCAGUCGUGCUUCUGGUUUCCAUUCCAUAGAAAUAUAGAGGACAACUUCUCGUGCUCUGCCAUAAGAACUUGGAGUCCAUAUCAAGGUUAAGGUAAGGUAACGCUGUGAUUCUUGCUCAAAAACGGACCGAACGCGUUCGAGUUAUUGGCUCGUCCAAACCUGCUGCAUUAAUGAGUCGCUCAUUCAACUGUGCCUCGGAGACAGGGUCGAGAAAGUGCCAUGCAUGGUUGCCCCCUGUGCUUUCUUCCCUUUAUCUCGGUCCCACCCGGGCUCUUCUGUGGUAAGGAGAAAAAAGUAGACUUCUGCAACGGGCUAUGCCACCCAUUACUUAUGAGGGAAGUCGCAUCCGUCCCAUCGCAAGCACCUACAAUGUAAUGAUCACAUUUGUUAACCCUAUUCAUUUUGGUAGUUCAACGUACGGUCGCCCCUCCAACAAGAAAAGGUAGAAAAAAGGAAACUUCUCUUCCAUUGGGAUCGGAGAAUUUAUGUAGGAAAUCCGGUUUGCAAUUUCCAGAAACCACACGAUUAUAUAGAAAUAGGGAAUACGCUGCGCCUAAUAUCAUCCCAAGCGCUGCUAAUGUGGCAACUAAGCUAUUUCUUUGGAAAGCUCCUACUGAGAUUGAGAAUUCCCCGAUAAAGCUGCUAGUGCCAGGUGAACUCAUAUUAGCCAAAGUGGAAGAGAGGGAAAUGGUAGGGAGAUUCGGCAUGGUGCUCACUAAACCUCCAUAAUAUCUAGCAAGUCGAGUCUUAUGUCGGUCAUAUAGAACACCAACACAUAGAAAAAGGGCUGGAGGAACCAGUCCAUGACUUGACAUCGGUAGAAUGCUACCUCCAAUUCCCUGUAUGUUCGAUAGAGCCAAUUAUUCCCCUUGAGUACUAAGAUUACCCCCCGAACCGUACAAGAAAGUGAAAACCUAUCAUACGGCUUUCUAACUAAACGGAUUUCGCUGGUCGUUCCGCUCUGUGGGAUCGAGAGUUGUAUAAGAGAUCUCGUGUUGCGCGGCAGGGCCGCUAGUUUGACUGUUAGAACUUGUUAGAACCGCCAAGCUACUAAUUUCUUCCAAUGAGAAAUGAGUCCUUUCCCAGCCAAUUAGAAAAGAGUACUUCACCUGGGGAGCAAAGUGUUGAGUGAAGCAUCUUUAUCCCCGUGUGGCGGUUAUAGAGUAUAACAUUGACGACCCAUACCCAAACUCUAUCUUCCUUAUCAGUGAACCGGAACACUGUGCAUAGGUACUAUUCGGCGAGGACGAGACGACAUGACAUACUAUGAGAACGUAAAGAAGUUCUGCCCUUAUUCGGAUCUACUAUGGAAAGUGCCUGAAAUCCAAGGUGACACACGAGCUCCCGUUCUGCGGCGUGGUGGCAGGACCACUAGUGGAUUGGCUCUGGGUUUAGGUAGUGUGAAAUCUUUAGGGUUCAUUAAAAGAAAUAGGCCCCUUCCCUUCUGCCAAGUUGAUUAGAAGGCGCUUUCCGUUCGGAGGUACCUCGGAGCAAAGGGUUAGGAAGGUAGUAUGGGCCCUCUGACUUCCAGCACAGUGUUGUGUGCGACUCCCGUGAAGCAAAUGAAGGGAAGCUCGAAGGAAGAGCUUUCUCCGCUAGCGGCUUAUGUAGUGGUCGGCAUUCCUACGUGCUCCAACGGCCACUCACUUGAGAUGAGAUUAAGGGGUCACCCUAGGAAAGAGUCGUUACGAAGGUAACUGGUGGUUUAUUGAUGGAUUCCGUGGUAGUCUCUGCCUCCCGUAAACGAAAUCAAUAUCAACAACAUGUCGUGACGGCCGACAACUAACCUAAAUAUAAUGAACUGGAAUUAUACCUACUAUAGGCUCUAGUACUUGGUUGACUUCUAGCUUCUAUGGUUAGUUGCCCUGUUGCUUUGGUUGAGUUUGAGUUUGUAUUGUACGGAAUUUCACACACGCCGCCGAGCAAGCCCUUCUUCCUUUGGCCUGGGAAAAGCUGCGAACUCUAGAAGCAAGGAAAGGAGCUUUUAAAGAAAAGAGGAAAGCAAGGAAAGGAGCUUUUAAAGAAAAGAGGAAUUAUUGAGGUAUUUAUCUGUCCCCCCGCCACGAAACUGACCCACGGCACACUUUAGCCCAUUCGCUUCGCCCGUGGGAAGGCAAGUGAAGUGAAAGAGACCGCUGCGGAGUGGAGAAGCCGCGACACGAAGUACCUAACUGCUCUGUGGGCUGGAUCUCGCUGGUGCCACCUAAAUUGUAGGUAGGUUACGGAUGUGUUACAUUUGGAGUUGUCGUUCGUGCACCUGUCCCCAAUAGAAUCAUGAGUUAUUCCUUCCACUGCUGAUCAUGGCCUUACCACUUGGUCCCCGCUGGCUAUCGUGGGAUUCGAGGAGCUAACGUUUGCGCUGCGCGUUCCCGCAGGACACAUGUUAGCUGUAGGAAGUAUGGUUACGAAAGUGACUUCGGUUUAGCCAGUUCAGGCUCAACUCCUCGCUUUAUGUUAGCGGACCUACUGGUCGGGUCGUGGCAGAGCGAUCUUUCUUUCAGUGUGGGACGAUGCCGGGGAAUGCUUAGAGGCGGCAGAGCAACACUCAGAAAUUGGCCCUCCAUGAGAUGAGCCCAGUGCAUUGGACCGAUGGAUAAGAGAAAUGAGCUGGCCUGCGGCACUAUACAUACGAUGUGGACUCCAGAAGUUAAGAUACAUAUCGAAUUAUUGAAGAUGGAUCCAUAAUAGAUAGAUAGAUUGUCUCAUCAAUGGAUAGAAAUGUGGGAAGAACCUUAGGAUUGCCCUCUUUCUUCUCUAUCGCAGCUGACUUAAGUGCAGAACCUUAGGAUUGCCCUCUUUCUUCUCUAUCGAUUCCUACUCUUUCGAUCUAUCAGAACGGAUCAGGCCAUCUAUCUAUUAAGAGAUUGAAAAAUGAAGUGAAUCUCGCUAGAUUGAAAAAUGAAGUGAAUCUCUUCGUUCAUUUCCGCCACAAUAAGAAGGAAGCGAAGCUUGUUAAUGAGCUAGAAGCGCUCGCUUCGCCGUGCCCAACUAUUAUUAUUCCCUUGCCUUGCUUGUGGGAAAAAGGAAAGUCAACUGAAAGAUGAGAUUAAUUAGGACUUAGUAUAGCCGGUGCUGUUGCUGUAUGCGCGUAGGGCCGUCCCCUCUUCCCGUCCUUUUUGGCACAGCCGGCUGUGUUAUGCUGAUGCCUCGAAUCGACGCUUUAGUUGCGACAUGCUAUGUUUUCUCCCCUAUUGCUAGUAGGUUGAUGGGUCGCAAGCCCGGCACACAUGUUUUGGUCUUGCUUGUGUGUCUAUAAAAGAAAAUAGGUGACCUAACGGCCGCCGCCCGACUAGACAUACCAAUAGUAACCAGAUUCAUAUGGGCAACCGGGGAGUAGGCAAUGAUCUUCUUAAGAUCGAUCUGUCUUGAAGUGGUCGAGGGAGUAUAUAUUAUAGCAAUAGCACUAGGAGUAUAAAUGAAAGGAGUGGAAUAAAGUGUAGCUUCGGGAAACAUGGGUAUUGAAAAUCUUAGAAAUCCGUGGGUUCCCAAUUUUAAAGGAAUUCCUGCCAAGAUUACGGAUCCAGCCGUAGGUGCCUCUACAUGGGCUUCGGGUAACCAAAUAUGAACUGGUACCAUAGGAACUUUGACGGCGAAAGACGCGAAAGAAGCAAUCCAUAGAAGAAUUUGGCGCCGCUCACUAAAUGAUGUGGUUAAUAAGAUAAGUAAAUCUGUAGUUCCUGUUUGGAGAAGAAUCAACGGAAUAGCUAAUAGCAUAAAAACGGAUCCAAGUAAAGUAUAUAGGAAAAAAAGAUAUGCUGCCUUGAUCUUUCUUUGUCUCGAACCCCAGACACCUAUAAUAAUAGUAGAGUAAGGGGUGGCCCCAAAGCGGAAUUGACCUUACCGGGUUGGUCGAAGCUCCUGUGGGUAGCCAAUCCCUUCUCAGAGAACCGUACGUGAGACUUCCGCAUCAUACGGCUCCGUCCCGAGCUUCCGUCUGAGGCCCUUGUCAUUAGACCAAACUCUGUUAUGCUUGUCUUUUCUGCCUUGACUCUAGAAUCUUUUGCUUCUUUGGGUGAUGGCGAACAAUGCAGCUUGCAGAGUAGGAGAUGCCUGCGCCCGAAAGAACCGCUCACUAGCUUGCCGGACUAGUUUUAGUGGGCCCGACCAGAAACCUAGCCUUUCGAAACCGCCAGUCUUCCAAAUAAAGAAGAUAAAUUGGCUUAUGGGAAGACUUAUUAAGUGCUGCUGCUUGUAGAGCACAUGUAACGCACAGUAGAGUUGCUCACGCUGCGGAUCUAGAAAUCUAUGGAGAGUUCCAACCAAGAAAGUGUGUACUGAUUUAGAACCAAGAAAGUGUGUACUGAUUUAGGUUAAAGUAAUUGCCUUAUGGUUCCGACUGACAGCCUUUACGCAACAACUACUACUGUGAUGUGAGCUGAGCGGUUCAAUUGGUUGGAUCUUUCUGGCCUCCACUUGUAUAGAGAUGCAUGCACGCUCUUUAGUAGGAUCUUCAUCAUGAGUUUUGUACAGCACCUUAGAUUCUCGAACCCUCUGCCGAGCUCUACCCUGCCAGCAUUAUCUCUUUUUUUUGAUGAAGUGGGCCAAAGAAAUGUCUCCACCUGCUCUGCUGCCAACUGUAUUUAUUCGGAAUUAUACGGAACGGCUCCCCUCUGUAUGUUUUAGCAACUUAUCCUAAGGUAUCCUCGCCAAGAGCUCCACGGACAGAGGAAGCAACCUGCCUGCUGUGGCGGGCGUGUUUCAUAAGCAAUAAGACCUGAACGAUUAUCCCUAUCCUCGGUAGCUUACGAGUUUACGUCCAUCCCUGGUCGGAUACUGUUUCCUAUCAAGAUUGAUUCUCCCUUGUAGCCGUUACCCGAAUUCGCGCAAGUGUGUUUACACCCCCCUGACUUGACGAGGAAUCCAUUCUCGCGAACAAACACAUCCCCUAAACACACCUAGGAGCACCCCUUCCUGCAUAUCCAUACAAGACCCGAGUAGGCGGGUCGAGGUCCUACGAGUUACCAACUAAGUACCCGGAAAUCCAAAAAGAUGUGUGGUUCGGUGGUUCGACCAGAAAUGCUAUGCUUACGCACAAGACUACCCCUCUUCCCGAAAGCUUCGCGGGGACCUUUACCACUUUACGACGACGGAGGACCGCCCAUAGAGGGUUUACUGCACAAGGCCCCUGCAGAGGAAAAGCUUUCUCCCAGCGAAUAGAAGAUGCUUAGCUCCGCACAACAUAGGGAUUAGCACACUUUCGGAAAGAACAUAGAAUAGUAGAGGAUCCAGCAUGCAGGACACGGCGAUCAUUAGAAAUUCACGAAUUAGAAAUGAUAUAAUAUAUUCUUUACCAAAAUGUCUUAUACUAGACCAACCCACUGAAAUGCAAAUAGGGAUAAGUAAUGUCGUCAAUAUCACGAAGAAUAAUGAAAGACCGUCUAUACCAAUAUAAUAAUGGAUGUUUUCAUAAGGAAGCCAUCGAAGCCUUUCCACAAAUUGAGAUUUGGCCGUAGAAGGAUCGAAUUGUAUCCGAAGAACAGGGGGAUACAAAAAAGUAAUAAGAGAAGCGCACAGACCAAUCAAGCGUAUCGGUCGUAUUCUUGAAUUGGGAAUCAAAAGAGGAGUUAUGCUUCCUAGCACAGGACACAGAAUAAGACCACUUAGAUUUAGAUCGGAAUAACUGAUAUGUUCUAACAUAGAGGAGAAUCAAACAUGAAAAAGAGUUGUUGACAACAGUAGAAAGAUAUAGCAGCUUAGAAUGAAAAAACACACGAGAGGGGUUUUUUGGAUGGGAAAGUCAGCUGAAACUAAACACCGUUAUGCUGAAAUUGCUAAGAGGGUUAGGUUAACCUCUCGCCUAGUUAGAUGUAAAGUAAUCAGGCUACACUGCCCAGAAUGAAGAAGUAGUGGGGCCCUGCCAAAGUAUGCACGCACCUUCUUACUUGGAAUAUAGAAUAUCUUAUUUGACUCUAUAAUAACUCUAUUAAUAUCUAUAAUAACUCUAUUAAUAUCUAUAAUAACUCUAUUAAUAUCUUUCUAUAAUAACUCUAUUAAUAUCUAUAAUAACUCUAUUAAUAUCUUUCUAUAAUAACUCUAUUAAUAUCUUAUUUGACUCUAUAAUAACUCUAUAAGAUUUAUCGACUCUAUAAUAACUCUAUUCUAUAAGAUUUCUCUAUUAGAUUAGUAGAACUCUAUAAUAUUUAUAUAAUAUAUUAAGCAAUGUCCUGUUUUGUUGUUGAGCACCCAUCUUAAGGCCCAAUCGGCAUCAGUAGUAUCACGGAACCCUAAAGAGGACGAUGACGGAAAAACUAAGGCUCGAGAAAAGCUUACUAUAUAUCUAAGAAUCCGAUGAACAGCUUUAACUAAGAAUCCUAUAAACAGCGGAAAGGUGAACUAACCGAGGGCGCUGCUAUGAAAGGCUUACUAUCUAUCUUUAUGAAAGGCUUACUAUCUAUCUUUAUUAGGAAGAGCCAAGGCAAUAUAUGGGCGAGAGAUCUAAAGAGAAACUCAACAGCGUCGGAUCAGAUAAUGGUGAGCCAUCAGUAAUUAGGAGUUUAACGUUAAGCUCAAAGGGAGUGUCAACAGUCUUCUCAUCCUGGAGUUUCGCUCUUUUGAGAAAGUCAUUACCUUAUUAGAUCUGAGAUACCAAAUAUCCACGAGGAGAAUGUGCUACCUCCCAGACUAACUAACAAGAAAACACGCCGGCUUCAUCCUUAAGAGCAAACGCAUUCGUGGGAGAAGGAAGGUUUCUUUCGAAAGGAAAGGAAGCAGAACAAAGAGAAACUAAUGCUCUCGUUAGCGCAACAAACACUACUACUGAAUAGAAUAUAGUACACAACUUAGAAUAGCAUAACAUUACACAUAGUAUACUCCACUCAAACUCACGCACAACGUUUGACGAACUCCACUCGCUUUGUUUCCAAUAAUUUCGCUAGAGCAUGGCUUGUUUCAAAUCAUUUAGCUAUAGCAUGGUAUAGAAUAGAUUAACCUCCCAGCUUCCUCAACGAAUUUCUUACUCCGGUUUGAUUACCCCUAGGCCGAGUAUCCUUACUUCAGAGCGGAAUUCUUGUGUUUGACUUCACUCAUCUAUUAAAGCAAACUAGUGGAAAAGGAAAAGACACAAACGUAACAAGGCAAGAUGAACAAAUAACGGAUCGAACACUGCCUAACAGACCAGACUAUAUAGAACCACCACUAAUAGGAUUUACCUCACCAACGGGGAAUGCAAUCAACGAUAGCAGGAACCCAACUAGUAACGACAGGGCUCCAACUAAUGCCAAAAACACUUUCAUUUCAAAUACAGAAUGGAAUUAAUAGAGAUGGUCCUAGCGCAUACAGGAAUAUAGUCAACGUAUAAGAUAUAAUAAAUGGAUAAGGACAUUUAGGAAAGAAAGGUCAAACUUAACUAUAAGGAAAGUAAUACUGUUUGUCAGCAGCUCUAUUAUGAAAAGCACUAGGUCGGUUCUUUGGAUUGGGACUUGAGUAGCCCACUUAGUUGCAUGAUACCCUUAACAACACAUUCUGAUGCUCACUAAUAGAAGUCUAUUACUGGAUUGGGUAAGCUAUCCUCUUAUCUAUAUUGUACGUAAGGUAAUAAGGCUUGGGCUACUAGUGAAUAAGGCUUGGCACAUGGCGUGGAUAGUAAGGGCCCGUAGGAAGAUCAAUAAUACUCAACCUAGAACAUAGGCAUGGAGGUGAUAGAAGUAAGAGUGAGAGAAGGGCCAAGCAACUGCUACAAACAGCCAAGCAACGGGGCAAGGAUCUGGAUCGGUAGUGCUAGUUUAAAAGCAAGCAAUGGAAGCUAACAGGUCAGAAGAAAAGUCAGGGUUGCAAGGAUGCCAGGGACAAAUAUAAGAAUAAGAGAAAAGAGCUGCCCGUAAGCCCUAAACAUAUGUAUAGGUGUUACUUAGAUAAAGAUGGGUUUAUGGCAACACCUAGUAUAACAGAUGGAUUAAUAGCUUUCUUAGACUCUCAAUCAGGCGAUAAAGCUGGGUCAAGUGCCUUACUCAAUGCGCUAGGUUAAGGUUGAAUAAAAGUAGUCCACCAAGUGGGUUCAGUGAGGGUGUCGCUCUAGCUCAAAGGCUUUAGCUCAAAGCUUAUUAUAGUGUUCAGGCGGGGAACCAUCAAGCUCAGCGGGAAUCUAAUCAUCUAGUACUGGUUCUUGUGAAGUGGAAAGUGUAGGUUCGAGGAAGAAUCAAAUAUCUCAAGUAAGGGUAUAAAGCAAGUGAUUCUGCUCUAGUUUCAUCAUAUUAAGAAGCCGAAACCGAAUCGACUCUCUUUUCUCCUGCGCAAGGAAAAGGAACUGUAGCAGAAGAAUGAGCAGUGCUUGUUUAGUCUCCGAGAUCUGUAGAUGAAACAUAAGCUAGUAGGAACAAUAGAAGAUGCUUUUGCUGUAUUAAAGCAAAGUAAGAUUAACAAAAUCAAAAGAUUCUUUACAAUCAUGGAUUAUAUACUGGGCUGAGGGUGAUAUUCAAAUGAAUGAGUAGCACUACUAGGCUAACUGUAAGUUGUAACAAUAAGAUAUAGUGCGCUAACUGAGAUUAGACAGGUUUCGGCUCGUGUUAGCUCCUCCUUUUCUAUUAUAGACAGGUUUCGGCUCGUGUUAGCUCCCCCUUUUCUAUUAAGCUUGUUUAUUGCGCUUCCGGAGCGGCCUUACUCGGAACAGAACAAUAAUCAAUAGGAUGUCCUACUUAUCUAAACAAUAAUCAAUAGGAUGUCCUACUUAUCCACUUAUAAAGAUCAAGAAAUCAAGUCAAAAGAGGGUUUCCUCGCUGCUGACAAUCAAUGAAACGAAUUUGCCUGUUGAAACCUCAUUGCUUACUGCGAGAACUACGGACGCAGACUCUUUACUUAAUGCUUACUUAAGAUUCCUUACUUGAAGAACUCAUAUCUUAAGCCGACCCCUAGACGACUAAAGUAUUAUCUUAGCGCGUUGCUUAUUUUGUCUCUUCCUUUGCUUUGCUUGUUUCAAGAGGAGAAGUAUUUCUUCCCCAAGUCCUGAAAAAGAAUCAUUAGAGUUCCCCUCCACGCCUAGGUUUAUAAUAGAAUCCGGUAACCAACCUUUCCGCAGUUAUGAGUAAGUCCUUUUUAGUGGGGUUUGUUUCAUUUCCCAGGGCUCUCACUUAUACUUCAACCAACGAGAGGGCUUCUGACUCUUUACCCCGCCUGCUCUACUUACUGCUUAGAGCCAUUCAUUAGCUUCAUUAUGUCGAUCCACCUUACUAUCUUUGUUUUCAAGCUAUAACAGUUGCUUCUAAUAACAACCUUACUCUAUCGGGCUUUCACUGCUGAUACUAAGAUUGGAACUGCGCCCUAACUGACCAAACUCGGGGACAAGCAAGCACUACUAACAGGAUAGAACUAAGAACUAGCAGGUCGAACAACCCCAAGAGAUUGAACUGCCAUUACUCGAUCUCAUUCUCACUAUCCAGGCUUUUUGCCUGUACCUAGGGCUUUUCAUUCUCCCGCUACUGAAUUUCGUUCUUUAUCUAAUGACCCUUAGAACUUAACUUCACUACUAAUAGGAGUGGAACUGGGAAUACACCUUACGACUGAUGAGACUGCAGCUGCUGAACCCUACUCUUACUUGUUUAUUUGAGUAUGCCAUUGCAACAUAGCACACUGCCGCUACACUCUUUUAGCUUAGCUUCACUCUUUUGGGUACGCUCCAACGUAUCUAACAGUGGAAUAAGAAGCUGGGAAUGCUAACAAUGACUAUAAUCCUUUAACUAGAUAUAGAGUACUCCACUAAUACUGGCAAGACUUCAACUAGUGCUAACAGGGCCUUUACUUACAAUAGAGAAGUUAACUCACUUGCUUUAGUCUCGUCUCACGCUCCCUUCUUUCACUCUGACUAGAUGGGAAUUUCAUUAUGCUAUUAUGACUGAAAUCCCUUCCCUACUUGCAUUAUGGCUUCUGUGCUUGUAGGCUUCUACUCCUUGAUCCCAUUCUGACUCCUCUAUUGAACACCACUCUAUUCUUAUUCUUUGAACUUAUAUUGAUAUGUAUUGAUGUGCACUUGUAUUGAUAUGUAUUAUCAUGUGUUUUAUCAUAUUAGAUGGAUAUUCUAUUUCUGAGUUUCUUCCUUUGACUCCAAUGCUACUGAGUUUAUUACUAGAUCACUAGAUUGUGGUCUACCCUAGUUCUGUUUAAGGAUGAGAGCUCGGAGCGGGGAACAAGUCUAAGCCUAUGGGUUGGUUGGAAGCAUCGAACUUCUUACGAUAAUGCAUUAUGGCAUUGGGGAUUAACAAUAAGUAGAUGGAAUAGCGAAUUGAGGAAUUAAUAAGUCAACUCAUAAUUCAAAUAAAGAGUAAGUGCCCUAACAGUAAGUACACGAAUGAAAGUAAUCCAGGACAGGCUAACAGCAAAGAGGGAAGCUCAUAGGCAUUGUAAUAAGUUCAGUUUCAUUGUCGUAGGCCUAGGAUCUAUUUGUCGUAUUAGAAGCACUAGUCCAAGUCGGAUCUGAGAAGCACUAGUAUUGGGGAAGUCCCAAGGUAAUUAGAAUGAUGUAAGUAAAUGGGUAUAGUAAGCCCGAGUAGCAGUGGUAGCAGAACGAGAAAGGGGUAUUUAGAGUACAACACAGGCAAGGCAGCCUUAGAUUAGCUAGCAGAAGUUACCCCCGAAGUGCAAAUCUUGAUGUUCCUAUUGUUAUUCUUGUUAGCAGGACAGUGGGCUUAGCCUAUCAGGUAGUAGGUGGAUCCCAUAGUUGUUAGUGACUUUCUUAUAGAGUAGGUUGCUUCUUGUUAGCGCUAAGUCAAAUCCUAGUAGCUAUUAGUUAGAGAAUUAGAGAAAAACAGUGAAGUUUUAGAGCAGUGUAAGGAAUAUGGGGCUAACAAUCGAGCAUAGGGGGUUGAGGCACCAGUUCAAUUAAGCGUAUGAUGCAGCGCAUACAAUAUAAGAAAGAAACAUAAUGUCAAAUCAGAAUCCAGCUCUAAACGAGGAAUUUCAGUAAGUAAGCGAGUCUUAUUAGAAGUAGUUAAGGUCUCCUAAGCACUAGUUCUGUGCCCUAUUCCCUUCUUAGAGACAGUAGUAACAGCCUGUAUUCCCGGCUCCAUUCUUCUAGUUCUUAGUUGAAUUAACAGUUUUGAGUUUCAUCCCAUCCCACUCCCACGUCUCUUGUUUCAGGUCUGAUCGGUACGGGUUGGAUUCCGACUUUUACAUUAUACGUUGUUUGGUCCGCUGCUUGCCUGUGUUCAUAGAAGAACUUGUUCAAUUCUGUCCUAGCGUCGUAGGAUACACUAGAAUAAAUGACUCUAUACAAAACACAUAUCCGGUAUGGAGUUUCAGAACUGGAAAAAGGAGUUGGUGAGCGAAAGACGGGAAGGAAAGCUUUGACGUCANNNNNNNNNNNNNNNNNNNNNNNNNNNNNNNNNNNNNNNNNNNNNNNNNNNNNNNNNNNNNNNNNNNNNNNNNNNNNNNNNNNNNNNNNNNNNNNNNNNNNNNNNNNNNNNNNNNNNNNNNNNNNNNNNNNNNNNNNNNNNNNNNNNNNNNNNNNNNNNNNNNNNNNNNNNNNNNNNNNNNNNNNNNNNNNNNNNNNNNNNNNNNNNNNNNNNNNNNNNNNNNNNNNNNNNNNNNNNNNNNNNNNNNNNNNNNNNNNNNNNNNNNNNNNNNNNNNNNNNNNNNNNNNNNNNNNNNNNNNNNNNNNNNNNNNNNNNNNNNNNNNNNNNNNNNNNNNNNNNNNNNNNNNNNNNNNNNNNNNNNNNNNNNNNNNNNNNNNNNNNNNNNNNNNNNNNNNNNNNNNNNNNNNNNNNNNNNNNNNNNNNNNNNNNNNNNNNNNNNNNNNNNNNNNNNNNNNNNNNNNNNNNNNNNNNNNNNNNNNNNNNNNNNNNNNNNNNNNNNNNNNNNNNNNNNNNNNNNNNNNNNNNNNNNNNNNNNNNNNNNNNNNNNNNNNNNNNNNNNNNNNNNNNNNNNNNNNNNNNNNNNNNNNNNNNNNNNNNNNNNNNNNNNNNNNNNNNNNNNNNNNNNNNNNNNNNNNNNNNNNNNNNNNNNNNNNNNNNNNNNNNNNNNNNNNNNNNNNNNNNNNNNNNNNNNNNNNNNNNNNNNNNNNNNNNNNNNNNNNNNNNNNNNNNNNNNNNNNNNNNNNNNNNNNNNNNNNNNNNNNNNNNNNNNNNNNNNNNNNNNNNNNNNNNNNNNNNNNNNNNNNNNNNNNNNNNNNNNNNNNNNNNNNNNNNNNNNNNNNNNNNNNNNNNNNNNNNNNNNNNNNNNNNNNNNNNNNNNNNNNNNNNNNNNNNNNNNNNNNNNNNNNNNNNNNNNNNNNNNNNNNNNNNNNNNNNNNNNNNNNNNNNNNNNNNNNNNNNNNNNNNNNNNNNNNNNNNNNNNNNNNNNNNNNNNNNNNNNNNNNNNNNNNNNNNNNNNNNNNNNNGACUUUUGUACCGAUCCUGCAACAACCCCAGAUCCAUCUUCUUUACCCGCAUAUGAGAAAGCCUCCGCAUCCGCCUUAGACUCUUCUGCUUCCUGUGCGUUCUAAUCCGUCUCUUGAUACAGCUGAGUCUUAUCCCUAUUAUCUUGAUUCCGCUUUUGAUCCAGAUUCGGCUUUUGAUCAGUAUUCAGAUCCAGCGGAUUCUCCGGUAUACCUUCCUCGCACUGCUGAGUCUGUUGCCACUGAGUCUGGGCCUAAUCCUUCUUCCUCACCCGAUCCAGCGGAUGAUCUUUCUCCCUUGUAGCCAACAACAUUAUUGACUGACGCCAUGGUAGUUGCGUAGUGGCUUGAGUAGUCGCUUGGUUUGUAGUUACUUGGCUAAUAGUAUUUACUUGUUGAGUCAAGUCAACCAGUCAUUUCUUAUCUAGCACCGAGUCAACCAGGAAACCCGGGAAGUGCAUCUUUAGUUGCUUGUCGCUGUAGACUCUCUCUUACUAUAUACUUAACUUAGUUUAGCUCCCGAAAACAGGAUUCGAGUAGAGUUAAAGAAAACAGGAUUCUAGUUUCAUCCCCCGCCAUUUGAGUCUCUUUGUGCUUCUUUUCUUCUUGUCGAAAAUCCAUUCUUGGUUUACUCGGAACAGUAUCAUCAGCUAAUGCGGUAAAGUAGAAUGUCAGGGUAGAGUUCAGGUCAUCAUCAAUUAAUUCAGAAUCAAAAGAUGGAGAAGUCUCUGAGGCAGGAGCAGUUCCAGUUCUGGUUCUUGUCUUAGAAAGAGGUGGGAUAGACUAAGCAUAACUUAUGGAAUAUCGAUUCUCUAUCGCAUAUCGCAUAUAGUAGAAUAGGGUCACUGGACACAAGUACUACUUUCCUAGACAAUUCAGAGAGCGUAAGCACCAACACUAGCUACUUUCCUAGACUUAACGAGCACAAGAACUAGAGCACUGAAACGUCACUUUCUGAAUCGAUCUAAACGAAUGACUCCCUUCCUAGCAGAUCAAUUGAACUGUCAACAACUCUACCCUACAAUUUCUCUUUCCUCGCUUGAAACCCUAACCUGGGGAGGCGCUGUCCCCCAUAAAAGCGUAAGUGGGCCUUUCUUUGAUUAGAGUUAGAUAGGAAAGGAAUAAAGUAUAUUAUUUGAUUAUAGUGAGAGAGGAUUCAAGUACAUUAAUAAGUUUCUCUGUGGACAAUGCCACCUUCCAUCGUUUUCUUAGUCUCAUCAAAAGAAAGACCUUUUUAUGCCUAACUUACUAGAAAUAGACGAUACGAGACUGACUCAGGGCUAUCUUAGACGAUACGAGACUGACUCAGGGCUAUUUGUAUUAGGCGUCAAUGCAUUAGAACAGAACAAGCAACUGAACAAGCAACUAAGGAAUACGAGUCUUUUCAUAGAAGAGAAGUAACAUAUUCCAUAAGAGAGUAUAACUAACCACCUAUUCUUCCUUCUUCAGCGCGUUGGACUGAUGAGGUAAGGUAAGUGCUUUGAUGCGUCGUAGCUCGCUAACGUGAGUGGUGCCCUAGCGUACUUUCGGGUUAAGUGAAUGACCUUCAUUUUUCUAGAAUAUUGAACUUAUAUGAACAAGAAGCAGUCAGGUUCAUUCUAUAAUGAGUGUGUCCGCCCUAAUCAUCUUCUUUUCAAUAUAGAAAACACAAGCAUUGCUUCCAACACGGAAAAGCAAGAGAGCCUUAGUGAGCUUUUCGGGGUGCUAAUGUUAGUUCUAGUUAGAGUAUCGGCAGCCUCACCCUCUACUCUACAUUAACUAAGGGACAGAGGCAUAGGCACUGCGUAUAGACUCUUGUAAAAGUACUGCAUCCUUUUAGUUAGAAUCAGACGAGACCACAUACAUCUAAGAGUAAUAAAACACCCUUUUUCUCUAGAACUUAGUAGAACCCUGAAGAAGCUAAGCUCCCGUUAGCGCCACUUCUAUUCUAUUUUCUAAGCUUGUUCGCAGCAGCUCCCUUUCACUUGGCUUUAAGGACCGUUAGCGAGCUCGUAAUUGCUUUUUCAUUCUACUCCGUUUGUUCCCUUGUCUUUUACUAAGCUUGUUCCCUUAUCUGGAUUUUGGAUUCCAAAUUGUUUCAUUUCAUCAUUUAGCUAUCAUAGCAUACUAAGAUGGGAAAGUAAGCUGACUCCUGCGAGUAAUAAAGUAUGACUUAUUUAUUUGACUUAAGAGCGACAACCAAAAGAACCGUUCGGGCGGCGGAGGCAAAAGGAGAAAGGAAACAAUUGCUAUAGGGAACAUAGGCUUCGAGUGUGCAAGCCCCAACCCGAAAUGAUUAAGUCGUGAGGAUCGGAUAUUUGAGCUACAAAUCCCAUAAUUCUAAGUGAGCUGUAUUGUAUGAUCAUAGCUACUUUGCAAUAUUGGGUGGGGGUAUUUCUUACUGCCAGGUACGAAGCAGCCUUUAUCUAGUCUCGACCCAUGAAAUGGAAAUGAAAGCAAAUAGUCUACGGGCCCGAAAGCCAAUUAGAUAGAAAGAAAGCAUUCGAAUAAGCAGACCUAGAAUUUGCACAGCCAACAUUUGCUCUUCUCAUUUAUUCGUAUUUUGAUCUAGUCCCCUUCGAUCGAGAAAGAAUGGCUCCUGCUCGCUCCUACAAAUAGUAUGAUUUCUCUUCCCCCGAUUAAGGGCUCCCUCCAAAUCCCCUCUCUGUGUUUCAAAUUCCAUAUAUUACCAGUGUUAGCAGGGGGUUUUAGCAUUGCUAUAUCUUUUUCGGGCAAAGAAUCAAGCCUCGAAUCCAAAUCUUCAAGGAAAAGUGUCUAAAGUAGGAAAGCCUCAGCGGAGCUCAAAUCUAUUCUUUCUUUCUUUUCUCUUUGCUUUGCCAGCGUGAAGUAAAGUUCCUUGCUCGUAAUUGAAAAGCAUGAAACUUAAGGUGAGGAAGGAUUGGACAUUGCGGCGAGACCAUAUAUAUAAGAAGACAUAAUAUUCCCCUUUACCCCUUCGUCAGCAGUUUUCUCAUUGGAAAGAUGAUUGGGAAUUGUUUGGAAGUCCUGUAUCAAUUGACAUUAUAACGAGGUUAUUACCGUUCCUAAUGUUAGCGAGCAGUGUAGCGCUUACGUGAGCCAGCUACGGACUUUUGCCCACACCCCCGAUAUAGUAUUAUCAAACUCUCUUGCUAGAUUGAAUGGAAUUCUUUAUAUGGUGUAUAAGGAAUGAAGAAUCAAAUAGAAGAGACGGGUCGCUCCUUUGCUUCAAGGAGUGCUUUCUUUGGAGAGUGAGUGCUUGAAUAGGAAAGAGAAAGGAGUCCUUUUUUCAAAGAUAGAAUGGAGUCCUUUUUGAUUGAAGUAAACGAGGGGAUGAUUCAAACACGAUCUGGAGUGAAAGAAUCUGGGUUUCCACCUUUUAGAAGAAUUAGAUAUUCUGAGAUUAUUUAGAUUAUUGAAAACUCCUAUAAGCCCAGAACUGUAAAGCGAAGUUUCCUCAGACUUACUCGAAAAGAUAUGUAUGGUCGGUUUCCUCGAAAAGAUAUGUAUGGUCGGUUUCGGUUAUGAGCCAAUCUUAUGACCUUGAAUAAUAAGGGUAAUGCCAUAAAGAGAAAUGCCUUCUUUUAGUCCGUCCUUCCUCGUAAGGAUCCAAUGUAUUUCUUUUCCAGUUGAGCAGAUGCAUGGGGCUUCUUUAGCUACCCUGUGGGCCAAGUCAAAGUCGUAAACGGAUUUUCCUCUCUUAUGGAGCGGAACCUCUCACUUUACCUAAACCUUAAUCCUUACUUUAGGGGGGAAAGAGAUUAGACUAAAACUCGCGUUAGUGAGAAUCUGCUAUGCUGCUUGUUUGUUGCGCUUACAGAGAGUUCGAGUCGUUGAACAUAGGUUACACAGAGCUAAUGUCUAUAAUCCAUCAUUUAAUACCCCGUCCUAACGCUGAUAACUAUACUACUGAUACAGAAAUAGACUCAUCGCCAACACCAUCCCUUCCCUUCAUUCAACAACUUUACCGUUCACACUUGUUCUUGUUGGACCUGGCAAUACUUCUUCGUACUUUGGAAACCUAGGAUUAUUCUCUCGUUGACAAAACCAGAACUCUAUGCGGAUCAAUCCUAUGAUUUAGAUCCCGAUCCUGCAGAUGAUACUUAUCUGGCUUAUGAACUUGUCGACUUCCCACUUGCGGCUUCAGAUCUCAACUAUGAAGUAUGAAUGGAAUAUCUCUCUUAUCUUGUAUGAGCACUACCGAUAGAAGACUACUGUUACCUAACUGCUGAAGAUCUUUGUUUAGAUCCCAAUCCAAUCAAGCUCCGUACCCUUAUUCUUCUCCUGUUGACAAAACUAGAACAUCACUACUUAGCGCAUCAGAAGCAAAAAUAGACUCUAAGCCAACAACAAGAACUCAACUAUACUCUCCUUUUUCCGACCUAACCUCUCUUGCAGACAAUGCUGGAACUCUCUUUUCAUAACCGAUUGCUGAUGCUGAUCUUGUGUCUAGUCUCACACCUAAAUAAGGACUUAGCGCUAAAGAAGUACAAACCAGAAGUAGAACACCAAUUGACUACUCUGUGCUGUGGAUGCUAACUCUCUUUGGAUGCUAACUCUAUUGAUCUACCGUUUGUUGCUUCCUUUCCUUACUCCUGACUUUCCAUUAGUUGUUGCUGUGUUUUGUUACCUACUUCCAUAUAUGUAUCGAAAGAAUAGAAUACCUUCUUUCUUGUUUGAUUUCGGCGAUCGGGCAGCUCACUCGAUACUGAACCCUUUACUCGAGAUUUCCCCCUGUAUUGGUUUUGUUUAUACUUCACCCAGUAGUGGUUGAUACUAAACCCUUACUUGAGACUUACCUUAGGCAGGAGAAAAGUAGACAAACACGGAUGAAAGUUGCACUGAAGGGCCAACUCUAAACCAACACUUUCAUCUUUCCUUCUCGCUUCCCUUUCUUAUUAAUCUUAUCGGCUUGCAGAACCACUUGCAGCCCUUAACCUUGCUACAACACUCGCACCAACACUGUAACAGGAAUCAUAUGCUUUUCGCACAAGCACCAAAGGACACUAUACAUAAGGAAUAUGCGCUUCAGAGGGUAAGGCACAAAGAGCAGAAGCCUACAACACGGUCACGUCGGCCAACACUGCGGAUUCAUGAACAGGUAUUCGAGAGUACACUGAAGAAGCAACAUCUACAAACGUAACGCUAACGGGAGCUUCCGCAAUUGAUCAUUCGAAAAGAGAUUCUGCCCCAACCCAAAUAAUACUGAAACAUGACUUUCAAGUAAUAGUUAACAGUGCGCAAUAAAGGAGUACUUUUGAAAGCAAUGACAAUAAUUCAGUACUAAAGUCAGAGGUUCGGCUGCCAAUAUUCAUUCAACAACUGCACAAGCAGCUGGAGAAGGAGCUUGAGUCGAAUACAGAUGAUAAGUGGGGACAAGAUUCCACAUAAGAUGAGUUAACCCGGAUCGUAUUUCUCGUUGUUUCACCUCUGUGCAACUCCUUUGUCUGAUAGCUCAGCUCUAAUUCUUAUCUCAACAGGUAAACAGUGCUUUCCUUGACGCUGACGCCACUGAUUCAAUAAUUCCUUUUUCGAUACUAAUACCCGAAUGGCAUCUUUAUUGUGCCAAGUCAAACAUCAAUCCAAAUUGAACCGAUGCUCUAGAAAACAAAGGAAUCGAACGGAAACUAUCGUUAGUGCAUCCCGACCUCGACUCUCCUACGCUAGGAGUUUACCUAGGUUCAAGUUAGAAAAAAGGGCUAUGUCUGGUCUCUUCUCUGGGAGUGAGCACGGGUUUCAAUAAGGACAAGACCAAAAGCGUUAGCGAACGGAUCCACUCGCUUGUUGAAUGGAAUGAAUUAAGUUAAGCGUUCUAGAUAUAGUGAUAGAUUUAGUAGCAAUACCACCUCACUGCUUGUUCUUUCGAUCUACCCCGCAGCUUGUUGAUAGCGUUACUUCUUUGCUUCCUUGUUUCACUAAUACUUUCUCUUUAGCUUCUUCCCUUUUUCUCUUCUAUACUCCACUCCAUAAUUUCGCUUGUUUGUUCCCCGACCUUAGAGAGUAAUAGGUAUUUUGGUUUUGUUCCUUUUUGAUAUUAGUGGCAUUCAAAUCUAAUUGCCCUGAUGAGUCUCCCUACUAAUAGUUUCUAGGGUAGGGGUCGCGCAUACAGGAGAAUACCCAAUAUGGGGUAGCAGCAGUCCCUAUCGUGCUCAAUAAGUGGAAGUAGAGUAGCCAGUUGCAAGAUAAGUAACAAGGACUUUCGAAAGCCCCCAUUAUUCACGCUGGUUGUUCGACCCCGGUAAGCGACCCUGGCCCCAGUAAUAAACAUAAGGAUUAGGGUAAGUAAGCUAACGCGCCCCGACCCGAGAGUAAGGAGUUCAGUCAGGAGUGAGCCGCAAGCAGUUGGGUUUCAAUAAUAAGUUAGGUGAGGUGGUGGGCAGUCUGGUUACGCGCUUUAGUUGUCGUGAUAUAAUAUCUCAUUAUUUUGGUUUCAUGACUUUAGUGGUCCUACUCGCACCCACAUAUUCUAGUAAUCAGUACCUUGAGCGGGCAGCAACAUAACUUCUAGUUUCCUCGCACUGCUUUAGCCUCUUCUUGACUAUAUUUCUAUUCUAUGCAAGACUGAAACGCGUGCUUAUUGUUCUCCUGCUACUGGUUUAUACUCUUAUUAUGGAAUGACUUGCUUCUAUAGGAUACUCCACUGAAACAAACACUAGUCAUUCUGCUACAGGAACAGGUCAUUCUAAGGCCUCCCUCUUAAAGAAGCUGGAGUAAAGAAGCUGGGUUCCGUUCAGGUGCCUUACUCAAGUGGUGUACCCAAGUUUCGCAGAAUAUCAAGAUAAAAGAAGGGGUAUUGUACUGAUAGGGAGAACCACAUAGCAUAUAUAGGUAGAGAGUUGACCUUAGUCUAAGCAAAUUAACAUGAAUGAGUUGCGCCCGGUGAGCUCCAGUCAACAAGCUUAGGCGCGUCAGGGAAGGGGCCAAGCAACUGGACAAGUAACUACUACAAACACAUAGCAUCAAAUAGAUGUAUUAUAACUCGUUAUGAGCAAGUCCUAAUCUAGAGCGGCAGGGAGUUAAAGCGCGUUAGUCCGGUGAGCUUAGUUCAAUUCUUACAGCUUGUCUCCUCUCUUUGUCCGUUAGUAAUUGCUUGGCUUAUAGCAAAUAGAGAAAUAGUAAAGGACUGUAUACUAGGAUGAAACUCUCCUGGAACUCAAUCACUUGAAGAACAACUUAUGGAAUCACCUGUCUUGCCUCCUAACCUAUCUCCUAAUUCCGUUUCUUCUGUUUAUAGUUUCAUUCUUAUGAGUAUUGGUUUCAUUCUUCUACUUAGUAGUUUGAUUCCUUUCUUAGUACUCUAUAGUCUCUCGGUCAAGACUUAAUAAAUAGGGGCUUACUACUGGACUACUCAUAUACUAGUUGGGGAUUAAACUCAUAAACUACAGGCUCGGAUCUGUCAACUAACCAUACUCUGGCAACUGGUCAACGAAUGCAUUUCUUCCUAACAUCUUUAUGGUUGCCCUUAUAGUAAGUUGCAGACUUUAUUACUUGCUUUGAUAUUAGGUGUACAAAACCCGCUGUUCGCCUAGUGCUUAUUUGGAUGAAACUCUCAAUGCUGCUGACUUGAGAACAGGAACAGUCUCUUUUCACUCUGGCUUGGCUCCGAUACCUAUGUCAACAAUUCUAACUGAACUGCUGACCUUGCUUUAAGGCUUCUACUGACUAGUUUGAUUCUGACCAGUGAGUUCACCCCGACCUCUACUGUUACUACGCCGUUCUAUUCUUACCAGUGAGUUCACCCAUCCUUAGUUCUAUUCUUACCAGUGAGUUCACCCCGACCUCUUCUCUUAUAAGUGCCCGACCUCAACUCUCAAGUCUCACUUAUUGCCUCCCUGGCCCUUGCCCUUGUUUGAAGAUAAGAGUCGUGCCUGUGAUAUAUAAGGGCUAUCUGUUCUGUUCUCUUCUCUUUCUUGCUCUAGUACUAUGAAGGGGUUUCCUCUCAGUAAAGGAGAUACCUCUCAGUAAGGGAGACACCUUUUAAGCCUAGCGGAUACUAUUUCAUCUCUAGAUACUAUUUCCUCUCCGCUAACAGAAUGAGGCUCAUCUAACUAUGGCUGCUAUGAUCCUUUAUCGACUUGCCGAGUUGCCUGUCUCUGACUUUCCAUUCCUGCUAAGAGCACAGGGUUAGGUUGGUGACUUAGCUCCAUUAGGCAGAGCUCGUUCUUCUGUUUGCAUUUCAUUCUGACUUGAUAGUGGAGUUGAGAGCCCUUGUAUUCUAUUUCGAUUACCUAUUGAAUAGUAACUACACUUUCUACUUAACCUCUAUUACUAGGCUAGGCUUACCUCUACCUAAGUCAACUAAUUCUGAUUUCUGACCUGACCCGACCUAGACUUGAAGUGAAUCUGACCUAUGACAUGACAAGCGCUACUGUUCCGAAAGACUUUACCGACAGAGAUUCUCUGAUAGAUGAAACUAGCACUGGCAACUCUCCAAGUUAUGGGUGAAAGGAUUGGGUACCCACCAUUGGUCGACCACUACUCCAUCGGUUAGCCAAGAACCCAGCUCACCGAAACUUAACUCGCAAUAAACUGAGAUUGAUGUACCGCCGAAACUGGGCUGGCUCUAGCAGCUGACUUUAGCGCAACAAACAAUGAAUUGAUUGAAUCUUUCUCUGAACUUGACUAUCCUCUUGCCCCAACUCUACUACUAGGAGCUAAAGCAACCAAAUGAGUCUUGUUCCGCAGCUCUGGCUCUGUACUCUUUACUACUAUACUACUUAGACCUAUUAGUAGAAGUAUUGUUAUCGGAGUGAUCUGACCCUACUCUUUGAGUCUAGUAGCUCUGUUAUCUUAAGUAAUAAUACCAGACAUCUAUCUCAUACCUAGCUCAUGAUUCUUUUGAUUCUUAUAGGAUGACAGAUCAAACUAGGGAUGACACAAGUAGUGCUGGAUAGAGGCACCCUUUCCCUUCCCUUGUUUUAAUAAGAUAUGAUUUAGAGGCCCUUCAUACAAAUUACUUGACUUUACUAACUAAAGACAGAGGCUGCAGUAUUACAACUACUAGAAGUAACUACAACUACUGGUAUUCAACUAGCACUCCCGGCUCAUCUCACUCUGGUAUUGUAUUUCAUAUAACAACUAUCAAUCUUAUCCACUCCGCCUACAUGUGAAACAGGACUACUCUUCUACAGACUUGAUAACUACAGGCUCGGCUCUGUCAACUAAUACAGAUGCAACAGGGGAUUCAGAAUCGACAACCGUAAUAUAAGUAAGGCAACUCUCCCCCUCGGGAUUCACUAGCGAUAUGAGACUUCGCCCUUACCUUAGACUGACUCGAUACCAGCUCAGUGAGACUUUUCCCUGGCAUUGGAAUGAAUUAAUAACAUAAGUGGGAAAUCUCAACUAAAUACUUGGAAUUCUAGUUUCUGUCUUCUCGUUUGAGUAGGAGGCGGCAAGGCUAGAACGCUACUAAUGCCGCUUUUACAUAAGAAAGUAGAGGAGCUUAUUGGCGAACUUGGAUUCGAACGAUGGUCUAUAUACGAAAUUUGGGAAGUGAGUAAUUCCAUAAAACCUUUGUAGUGAGUAAUUCCAUAAAACCUUAUUAGGAAAGCUGGUGGUAGGGCGCUUCACCAACAACACUUCGGCAUAAGCACGCACGCACCCGGAUGCAAGAACCAAAGAUGCUAGGUCCGGUUCUUAAUGAUAUAGGAGAGCUUCCUCUCCCUUCCUUCGAUAAGGCCGGGCAGAUGUUAGAAUCAUGGGUGAAGUACGGUAUGCUAGUAAUUUGCCACGGCUGGGGAAACAACACGGAAUUGAAAGCCUGAAGGGGUAUUUACGGAAGACCAUAGGACGUACCAGAACGUAGCUACUGUAGAGGCACCCAAGCCCUUAGCGGCAUAUAUCCAUAGUUGCAUCACUCCUGAACAAAGGUUAAGGUCAAGCCAAGCAGACAAGUGGGCGCCAAGUAACGUAGUAAGUAUAGCGGCAGGGAGCUUGGAGACAAGUAACUACUACUGAUUGAAACUAACCUAACUAUGGCAACUGAUACUGAAUUGAACUCAUAUCGGUCAUAACCCUACUUUCGAACUGGAACAGGCAAUUCUCCAUGCCUACCCCAUAUCUUGAUACUUCCACUCACAAGUCAGAAUUGACACUCACAACUAGUAAUAAGGAAUUCCAAUUGACUAGCGAACCAGCCCUCUUGCCAACCCCGAACAAAGGACUUCCUCACUUCCCUCGCACAGAUCCUAUUCAAGAUCCUAAUCCCACUACUGAUCCAGGUCCUGAUCUAGUGCAUUCUACUACUCUAGAUAAUGCUUCAGAUGCGGAUCCAGCUCCAUAUCCUGAUGAAACAGCCAAUCUAUCUCCUCUGUAAACAAAUACUGAUUCAAUAGCACUACUACUUGUCAACUGGCCAGCGACUCCUACUUUUACUACUACCGGAAAGACCUUCACUCGAUAACCGGGUCCUGGCUUUACUGCUUUAACUACUAUGAUCGGCUGUUAGUCUGCUCUUGCUGGAAUCCCAUUUUAUACCCCUCACAAUAGUAAUGGAAUUUGGAAUACUGGAUAUGCGCCAGAGCUUUAAGACAUUAAGUAGCCAUUAUCAGAUUGUAAAGCAUAAGUAGGGAUGCUAGAAAGGAGUAUAAUAAUUGAAUCAAUAAGCACACAGCCCUAGGGCUUCAACCCACUACUAUAAUAAUGGGUAUACUACUAAUAAGAACCAACCCCUCCUUAACUAGUAGAGAAUACAAAAGCAGCUAACAAGGCUACCCAUCCUUUCUUUUCUAUAUAUAGAGAAAUACGGAAUUUAGUAUGGCCAAAAGGAACCCAUUGCCCACCGGCGGUACCCAUCUUUCGGCCGAUCGGUCCCAAUGCAUUUCUGGAAUGGCCAAGUCACAACUAACGGACAAGUCGACAACUAUAUCAAUUCUGUUACUACUUAGGAUUAGGACAAUUCUGAACUGAGCUUCUUUCGACUUAAGAUAAGGGCAACUCUUUAUUUCCACUACUGAUCUAGCUUCUGUAACUCGUAUUGAAACAAGGGAUGCCACUUCUGCAGCUCGGGAUGAAACGAACUCUCCUCUGUCAACAAAGAAGGAUGAAACUCGAACUACACUUGUUGAACCAACCCAACCGCACGAUGAACCUUAUUCAGAACCCUCACUCUAACUCUCACAGCAUCUUUCUUUGGCACUGCUUCUCUUAAGUCAAACUACCCUGGCUAUCAAUGCAAAGCGUUGUCUCAUGCGCUACAAAUGCAUUAUAAGCUCUAUUAGAUUAGGCUAAUUCCCUAUGUUGGUACUUUCAGGCUGUUCUAGUGGAUUUGAAACCCGGCAAGCUACUACUAACGUAGCGCGGCAGGCAUGAGAAAUAGGAAGUUAAUAGCUGAUUAUAACUAUUCCUUCCUUUCUUCCCUAAGUCCAGUAGCAACAGAGUAGUUAAGUCCAGUAGCAACAGAGUAGUUGGCUUUCACACCGGAUUGAACUGUAGGAGUGAGUUCCAAAGUAGAAAGGGCUAGUCGCUUCAGUAAACAGUGAAUAGAGAUUCGUACCAAUGCUUAGUAUUUGUAGGAGAGUAUUUUUCACUGUUCCCUUAUUCUUAUAUUCUUUCUUUUCUUAUUGACUCUUUCUUUUAUUAUUUAGUAUUCAUAGAAUGGGCUGGAUCGUACCUUAUCUUAUCUAAUACAUACUUAAUCCCAACUCCUGCAACUAACACUGAAUUCUGACUUGCUUCUUUACUAACAUAUGUUUUCUCCCUUCCGUAGUUUCUUUUCUGUGAGUGGAAUUCUUUAUUAGUAGGCAAGAUGGGAGGAGAUAUUAUCUAUUUGCUAUGAAAAAAGACGGGAAAACGGAAAAAAGGAAUGGAAAUAGAUGGGUCCAGGAAGGAAAAGGACUUCGCUACCCGCCAAGUAACUACUAACCAAGCCGAUCUAGGCGCGGUAGCGAGCUAAAAGAGCGGCAGCAACAAUAAGAUAUAUUACAAGUUAUGUAUAAGUCCUGUGUUCGGGAGCUGUGGCAUAUCAGACUUAAACCAACGAAUCCAAGACUUCAACCCGAGCAAGGCAGGCUCCAAUCAGUUCCAACAGGAAUCAAAGCAGUGCAAGUAAGACUCAAAGCAGUGAAUCUAAGCUUGAAAGCACUAACAGCAAGACUCAAACCGGUGCAUCGCAGCCUUACUUAAAGCAAGCAAGACUCCAAGCAGUGCCCCUAAGAACCAAACACCUGACUCUAAGCCUGAUACCAGUGUCAGCAAGAAUGGAACGGCGUAGUCCAGGAGUAAGCCCGAAGUACUAAGAUCAGAAUCAAACUCAGUAGUCACAGAACGAAACUAAGUAAAGUAGACUCGGAAUGGAAACCCUCCCCAGUAGUUAUCAGAAUGAAACCAGGUAUAUCAUUUGGAGUACCUAGUAGUUAUCACCUAUAUUGACUAUUUCUUCCCUUGCAUACCCGAACUAACUCUAUCCUCCUUGCCCACCUGGGGUUGUUGGUCUUAGUCCUUUGUUCACCGGUGUUUGUAUGAGGAGGAGAAGAAUUCUGGUAGAAAACUACUGAUCUAAAGUAUGUUGUAGGUGUGGGAAGUCAAGGUUCGGAAAGAAGAAGUUCAGAGCUGAGCAAGAAGAUGUUAAGAGCCGAGCAGAGCAAUAGGGUCUAUUUGAUUAAGAAGAAAUGAACUAUUUAAUCACUUCUUAUGUUUUAUGUACUAAUUCUCAUGUCAUACGCCUAAGAGAGCUGCUAAUGCAUUUUCUCCUAUAAUCUUGAUGGUUCCCUUGCCUAGCCUGAUUGGGGUGCCUCGCCUUAGGAGGCUCAAACUUCACUUGGUUAUCACUCUAUAUAACUAUGUAUGGGUCCCUGGCCGGAUCUAAUAUAUGCUCAAUCCAUUAGGUGUCGGGCUUGUUUCAUUCCUCUGUUACAAGGGUAGGCUUGUGUCAUUCCUUAACUCGGAUAGGCUGGUUUACUUACUUGUACUAGGCAGGUUGACUUACUUGCUUGUUAGGAUGGUUGUUGAAGUAAGUUACUAGGGUUGUUGUUGUUGAAUGAAGUUACUAGGCUAUAGAUUCCCACCGAUUGCCCUCAUGAAGUUCCUAGUUGCCAGAGCCAGAGUCGAGAUCGGCAGACAAUAAGAAUGGACUGGAAAGUUAAGGGUGAGGGGAAGAAUCAGAGGCUAAAGUCAGGUCUAGGUGGGAAAGCGGGUGCCUUGUUUUCUCCCAAUACGCGGGUAGGCUUGGUUACUGACUUAGUUGACUUACUUGGAAGCUAGGGUAGUCAAAAGAGAGUACUUACUAGUUAGGGUAGUCCUGUUCGAGUGUAAGUCCCCAGUAGCAUCUGUCUUUGUAGCUUCCUGUAGCAUCUGUCUUAGUAGUUAUAGGAUAGAGAUUAGCUAGUUGCCAGCUGCUAGUGGAGAUGAGCCAGAAGUCUUAUCUUAUAUAAGAGAUGAGAAAGAGGAGAGGUCGGGUCGGGGAAGACUAUCGGGAAUAAAGAUCUUCAGCAUCAAUUAGUUAUUAAAGUCGACAAGAUCUGAGUAAGGAUCCAAUGAAGCAAGUUGGAAUGCAACUCUGUAGUUGAAGUCGAAGAGAGGAAGCUAAGCUAUAAGUACUUCAGUCAAGAAUUCCACUCAAACACUAUAAUAAGUCAUUUAAGAAUGAAACAGGAGACCGUCCAGGAGUGCUAGUGAAAAGCCUGUAGUUGGCGAGUUGAAUACCUUCCUCGUAGUAGAGUAGCCCUGUUUUAUACACCAUAAAUGCAUUCUUUCGAAUAAGUAGAUGCUUUUAGAGAAGGUUGUACAUCCAACUCAAUAAGUGAUGAAAUAGCUCCUUUUGAAACCUAUAUAUGAGACUAGUGCUCCUGACUUUCUUGCUUGUUCGGAUAGGCUAGUUUACUUACUUGCUUGUUCGGAUAGGCUAGUUGACUUACUUGCUUGUUAAGGGUUCCAGUCCAGUAGUAGCUUGCCGGGUCUAAAGUCUCACCCUAUAAGUAGUGGUGCCAUAGUUAUAGGAGGUGGGCAAGGUCAGAAACAGAAUCAGGGUAAGGGGAGUCGGAAACGGAAGGUAGUUUCUUGGCGGAGCAAGACAAGCAGUAGGAGCAGCCCUGAAGUCAAUGGGUGAAGUUUCACCAGUAGUAGUGGACUCCGGUAGAUGAGAUGAGAGCCAGUGGAAUACCGAGUGGAAUUCUUUGCUAGUAGUGGAGAGUGGCUAGUUGCACUCUUUAGAAAGGAAUUAGUUGACUCCGGAGAGGCGAGGAAGCUAAGCUAUAUGUAUUGAAGUCAAGAAUCCAACAAAGUAGUCCAUAAGUAGGAAUAUAAGAGUUGAAGACCAGUUAGUAGAUCCCUUUGAAGCUAGGUCAGAGAUAUUUGUUGGCUUAGAAGCGAGGUAUCCCUAUAUGACUAAGAUCAGAAUUGAACUAGUCUCAAGUACUGAAGUCCAGAAUUGCUAUCCAAAAUCCCGGGAAAACGCAAAAAAGGAAUGACUUUGGAUCGGUCUAGCAGGGAAAAUGACUUGGCUAUGAAAAAACACGGUAAAACGUGAAAAUAGAAUCUCAAUCAGGUGCCUCAGGAAGGAAAAUGCCAGUGCUACCUUUUUUACCGAGAAAACGCCCACUUUGGAUUCCCAAUGGGUGCUCUAGCUGGGAAAACAAGGUCGCUAUCAAAAAAGCCGGGUUUUGGUGAACAGUAUCUUUCUGUUCUUGUUGCAUCCCUAGUUGACGAGUUGGGGCAGGGCAUUGAACAGUACUGUAGUUGUUUGGCUGUUGAACUAGACAAUAGGGUAAGUUGUUAGGUAUCCAGUGUUGUGUUCUAAGAUAUUAAGUUGUUAGGUAUCCUGUGUUUCUUCCGAUCUAGUAAAACUCUCUAUCAGGUGUUCUUGUUUCAUCCCGAGUGUCAGUUGCCAGAGAAGAUAGAUUGGCAGUUUCAUCCUUUGUUUCAUGCAGUACAGCUCAAGUUCUGGUUUAAUACCGAGUGUCAUCCCCUUAAAGUAGUGGUCCUGUCCGAGAAACUAGUAGUAGAGUAGUUGAAUCCGUAUUUGUAGCAGUUGCAUCAGUCUUUAUAGCAAGAGGAGAAGUAUAUGAGAUUCCAGUUCCAGUUCUCAAGUCUGGUGAGGAGAAGUCCGGGUUAGUGGGAGAACCUCUGUGCUAAGGGCAUAGGAUAACCCAUGUGUUUAGUAAUGAGUCAAUAGAGAAGUUGUAGCUUGGCGGAUAAGAAGAAAGAGAAGUUUCCGUUCUAAAGUAAGCAGAAGCUAGAGUUUCCGUUCUCAAGUCAGCAGAAGCUAGAGAAGGAUCCGAUCCGGGUGUUGGUAAGAAGAAAUUCCAUGCUUUUUAGUGAAAUUAUUAUUAGUAGUGCAAAUUACUAUAAGGUCCUGUUCCUGUACUUGUGUAGUAGUGACUUUGCCCUAACUCAGUGACGGCGGAGAGAAAUCAACAAAUGAACCAGUAGCAUUGGGUGCUUCUGAAAGGAUAGUUCCGGGUAGUAGCUUGGCAGUUGACUCCGGUAGAUUAGAGUAGUCCAGAGCCCUAACUUUCUUAGUUUACAGAGUUGGAUGAGCCGGAGUUCAAAGAUCUGACUUUGUUGACAGAGCCGAGCCUGUUGUUGGCAAGUUUCAUCAGUAGUAGGCUUUCAGCACCUGUAUCAUCUGUGUUUGUAUCCGUGUCUUGGCGGGUAGUUCUGGAAUGAAGUUACUGCUGCUGGGCGAGUGGAAUCCCUUGUUCCUGUUAGAGUGGAAUUCUUUAUUAGUAGUGGUAGGCGUUAACACCAGAGGUCAGAGGUGGAUGAACCAGACCAGAGGAGUGGUGUCAGCAAGGGAAAUUGAGUUGACUCGGCUCGGAAGGGAAACAAAUACUUCUUGAAACUAGCCCAUACGGUGGUGAAGUAACCAAAUUCUUAUUAUUAUUAUUUGUAGUAGUAUACGUAGCUUGGUGGCUUCAAUCGGUGCUUCCAAGUCUGAUGCUGGUGCCGGUCUUCGAUCAGAAUUCCACUCAUUGUUGAGCUAGGCAGAAUGAAGCCAUAAAGAUGGAGAACAGGUGGUCAGAGCAGGAGUUCUUUGCUUGAUUCUGCUAAGGACUACAGUGUACCUCUUGGUCUGAUACUUACUUAUUGAUUUCUUACUAAUACGACUAUUAGUCUUGGGUCCGGGUUCAUAGGCUUAUACUACUAAGUUCCAUUCUUUUGAGUAGUGACAUUGGCUGUCUGCCGUCUUGUCUACUUGCCUCACGGAGUUGUAUGUUAGUUUCCGUGUCUAUUGGUGUAGUAUUCAAUCAAGCCUAUUAGUGCAGUGUUCGGGUCUGUAUUUACUAUUUGAAAGAAAGAGGCGUCUAGGUGUAUUUACUACCUUAAGGACAGAGGCUAUGUGGUUGGCAAAGAAAGAAGGGAGCUAAGAGCUAGAGUAGUUGGGUGCAGUUCCGUAAGCCCAAGUCUUUGAUUCAAUGAAUUUGGUUACCUUACUCUAUUAUGCCCAGCGAAAUCCUAUUCUUCACCGACAACACCGAGUGAAACCAGACCAGACUUGACUUUAGAUCUUUAGUUUGAUACCAGAAUUCUUAUCCUCUAACUCAGGCUCAUAUACUUCUAUCUGUUCUCUCCUCUUCUCUGUACUGUGUUCGGCGGUAACUAAUCUGAUCUUCUAGGGAUAGUGUAGUGGGAGAGUCUUGUUGCUGCUUGUUUGAUUACCUUCCCUUGCGCUUGCAUUCUGUAUUGGGUGGCCCGAGCUCAACUCUCAACUAAACCUGCCAUACUGCCAGCUGCGAAGCUGCCCUUGCUUUGUAUAGCUUGAAACUACCUCUUUUACAUCGAAAUCUGGCUUUACUUACUAUGUGCCCCGCGCUACUGCCUAUUCGUUUCACUUUACUUGAUCUCAGGCUACCUCUCUCUCCUGUAACUUCGGACUCGAACUACAGUUUCCAAGGCCUAACCCACUCCAUCGAAAUUGACUUACUCGAAAUCUGUAUAUUUAUUUGAAGUCGCAAGCAAGAGAGAACGGGGGUCUUUGUCUUUACUUUCUAGUUAUUUAUUAGGGAAGGGAAUAAUUGGUGAUAUUCCGACAUUUGACUUACUACUAAGAGCUUUAGAGCAGAUAUCUCAUUAAAGGAAGGGGCAUUCUGGGGCAUAGCUGAUACCACAUUGCUGUUAACGUUGUAGGGCUAUUUAAAGAGAUUCAUGUCACAAGGAGACCCUAUUUAAAGAUAUUAAUGCCAAAAGGAAGCAUUUGCCCCAUUACGAGCAGACUCCCCUUUUCCAGAGAAACUAAGAAUAGGGAAUUUAGCACAGAUAUGUGAGAAUGAGCUCCAACAUAGGAGAUACUCAAUCCUUGUUGAACUACUAAAACCAUCCUCGAGCGGUCUCCACUAACCCGAUCAAAGGAGCUGUAGCGUAGGGAAAAGCCUCGACUUACGGAAGAGAAGAACCCCAUGCUAACAACAAUGAGAGAGAGACUCCGGAAGCAUAAGAGGAAAUACUAACACUGUGACAACAAGCAGAAAACCAAAUGUACAGCGGAGAGAACCUAACAAAAACUAAGAGAAGAGGAGAGGCAAACCACUCGCAAAGGGAAACUCCCAAACGAGGGAACAACUACAAUAAAAAGAAAGAAGUCUUUGAAUAAACAACUAUACGAAGAAAAUGCAUUUAUUCAACAAACAGGGAAGACAUUCAGAUGAAAUAUUCACUCCCGAGCAAACAAAGAACCCUGAAAUACCCAUUUGUAGGCAAGGAAUGAGGCCACGGAGAUGAGGAUAACCACCCUUAAGAUCAUAUCAUUACAUUAUACGAGGCGAACGAAAGAUUCUUGUCUCUAAAAGAGGAGUUUGGGUAUAAACGGAAAGCGGUUCUUCUGUUUCCGCUUCAUAGCUUAAGUCAGCAGCAAUCAAAGUAUAAUAGAUCUCGGUAAGGGUAAGAUUACAAACUAGAUGACUCCUUUUGUCAGGGUAAGAUUACAAACUAGAUGACUCUUAUAUAUAUUAGGCAAGAAAUAAGAUACUAGGCAAGAAAGAAAGAAGAAACCUCCGUAUAAAGUGCGUAAGCCUUAGGAGAUGCCUUAUAAAGUGCGUAAGCCUUAGGAUAAAGAUAUGCCUUCUUCAGUGCGUAAGCCUUAGGAGAGAUGCCUUAUAAAGUGCGUAAGCUUCAAUUACUAUAGCUAGGAUGCGCCCAUAAUAUGAGUUUUGGAAGCGAUGAUGUCUUGUUGUUCAUAUUUCUUUCAUUAAGUGUAUAGCCAGAGAAAAUGAAAUAAGCUGUAAGUGAGUCAGCAGUGAAGUUAGAGCGAGUUGGGUUAUAUACUUAAUUAUACCCAAAUGAAGGAACAAGUAGGAAGUACAAAUUCCACAAGUCAGUCCAUCACCACAACAAGUAAGUCAACAACACUACCCAAUUUGUUUACAGAGGAGUGAAAGGCUUAACCGAGUAGGAAUUCAUCUCUUGGGGCAGCAGACUUAACUCGAACAGUCUAUAUAUACCAGGGCAAAAGAAGUGAAUAAGUGGAAUCCCCAGUGGAACUCGGUGUUAUCGAUUCAGAAAGGGGAGUGUAGUUUGAAAGUCUGGUUUAGGGUGUUGAUGCUGUAUCUCCUAGUAUACGAGUUGGGGAAAUAAGAUCUUUGAUGUUACUGGCAAGGAAGCACUACCGGGAGUUGUUGACCUGACAGCGAUAGAUUGCAUUACUUCUUUAUUUGUUGCGGUAAGGAAAUCAAGAAAGACUCUCCCAUACCUUACACCUAUUACUUCUGGCUCUAAAUCAUAUGCACUACUUCCUGUUGGCUCCGCUCUAACUGCUUCCUUUGGCGACCUCUCCUAUGCCUCUGGCUGGCUCUUUGAACUCCCCCUCGCUUACAGCUGACACAAAACCUUUCCUUUCUAUUAGACCUCAUUAAGAAAGAGGAAAUAAGAAACACGGGAUGAAAAGGAAUUAAUAGUAACGGGCAGGAAAAGAAUGAACUGACGCCACUGAGUAUGGGCCUGUACUAUAUGCCUUUAAGGCUGCAACGCCCGCCCGUCCAUAGCUCUUGUACUGACUUCUUUCAUUAUGCAUUUCAACCCUAAGUCUUUAGCUACUGUCCCGUAUUCUUUAAUCGAGUGUGGGGAAUGAUAGCAAGGCAGACCGAAUCUACAACAUCAAAUAACGAAUGAAAUAAAGGAGUUUCGGGCUAAUAGUUAUACGUUGCUUAGUGAGUUAGAGACAGUAAAGUGAUACUCAAACANNNNNNNNNNNNNNNNNNNNNNNNNNNNNNNNNNNNNNNNNNNNNNNNNNNNNNNNNNNNNNNNNNNNNNNNNNNNNNNNNNNNNNNNNNNNNNNNNNNNNNNNNNNNNNNNNNNNNNNNNNNNNNNNNNNNNNNNNNNNNNNNNNNNNNNNNNNNNNNNNNNNNNNNNNNNNNNNNNNNNNNNNNNNNNNNNNNNNNNNNNNNNNNNNNNNNNNNNNNNNNNNNNNNNNNNNNNNNNNNNNNNNNNNNNNNNNNNNNNNNACCAAUAGCGAUAAGAAUCAACACAAAGACAAGAAAAGACGGCUUUCACUCGGACUUCAUAAGACAACAAACGGAAACUGGGAACCUCUAAACUAAUACUGAAUAGAAAAACACUGACAACAACACUUGUUCUUAUAAAUAGGACUUCCCCUACCGAUCUCGAACCCGCUCUGACAGCUGCUCAAGGCUUGCUUUACUUGCUCUCAUGCUUUAAUUACUUCUUUUUAUUCUGACUCAUUUAUAUGCUUUGCUUGGACCACUUAACAUUUCCAAAUACCAAAUUGCAUCUUUCUUUGGGAGCGUAGAAGAGAAUCUUGCAGGAUAAGAAUGAACUUACGCCUUAACUACUCAGUCUUGCGCAGAAGAUCGUAUUGCCUCCAACAACCCGGCUUAUGAUCCUGAUCCGAUGAAAAACGACUAUACUAAUAUUGUGAGUUAGAGGUGGGCGCCCGGAAGCAGGUAAGCCCCAGGACGAGUAGGUCAGCAGCAAAGAAAGGGUAUCUCGGUCUCGGGUUAAAGUAAGAGUAUAAGGAAUAAGCGCAGCAGGUCUAAGUCUAGGUCUAAGCUCAACAGAAGAAACUGUAGAAGAGAAGGGGCAAGCUAGUAGUUGAUUUAUUAAGUAGUGAGUUGACUUACCGGUAUUGUAUAAGAAUGAACCUAACCUGUAUGAAACUAAUUGAACUAGUUGACCUCCCACUACUCUGGUAUUCUUAUUGAACCAAGCAGGGGCAAGCAAUUUCACUCAGUAGUCAAACAAUGAAACAAAUACCACUGAUUCUCUGCACCUGGAAGAGUGUUACAGAAUUGAGCCACUAAAUCAAGGAAUCAAACUCAUAAGUCAAACAAUGAAACCAGUCAGUUACCGCAAUUAGCUACAUCUAGAAUAUAACUCACUUAAGAAUGAACCUCAGUAGUAACAGGUGUUCGCCACUAACAACAAGAAUGAAACGAGUAUAAAAGAAUCAGAAUAGAACUAAUCAGAAUGGAACCCUUUUUAGAAUCCGCAUGAGGAGAGGCAAGUGUCAUAAAGGUGGGCAAGGGAAGAAUAGGGUUGAUUCUGUAACUACCGGGUCGAAGCCUUAGUACCACUGGCUGCCGAACACAGGACUUGUUUCUAACUAGAGAAGAAAGAAAUUGUUCAUCUGUCUGUUUUCUUCCCUUUCUUUGUUUUAUGCGGAAGAGGGGGCAUUGCUUUCAUGCCCAUUCCCUAGCCAACUCGGAAUAGAAAGAGCCCUAACUGGAACAACAAUAUUAGCUUUUAUCGACCCGAGGUCUGAUCUCUUUUCAAAGAAAUGCCUUGACUUUCCGGAAAGCGGAAGUCUAAACUGGUAAUCCAAUUGAAUUGAUAGCGAGCCAGGAAAGUAAGAAAAAGUACGUUGGUAGGAAUUUAGAAGAAACAUAGGAGUAAGCUAACUUCAGUAGAUAGAGAGUUGCUCGUCGUCACGAAAUAUCUCAUAAUAGGCAAUGUUGCUUAAAAAGAAAGAGCUGGGCUUAGCUUAGGUAAUGGGUUAUAUCCCUUACGGAACAAUUUCUAUAUCUCUGGAUCCGGCCGGUAAGCCUAAUAUAUCAGUAUCGUCAACCAUUCCCGAUUCAAUCCUAAACUGUCCUCUUGUCAGAGUCAUUCCAUCUUAACGCUUUCUUCCCCGCAAUCAAUAUCAAAUGAGGAAGGGCGAAGCGAAGCAACGAAGAGUCAAAGAGAGAUCUGAGUUUGCUGUUCCAGCGGAGUUAUCUGUUCCCGAUUCGACUAGGCACAAUGAAAGAGUAAAGGAAAAAGUAAGGGCCAAGCUACUACGGAAGUAGACCUCGCCUCAAAGCCAAUAAGAUCAGAUUACUCACCUUCUUCAGGGCUUACUUCUUAUUCUGGGCUUACUCCUGACUCCUUACUUCUAACUCAUAACUAGUAACUGACUUCAACAAGCCAAGCCCCACUCCACUACUAUUUGCUCUGAAAACAAUCACUAUUCUCUAGCAACUCGGUCUUCAACAAGGGAUUCCACUAGUAGGUAAAAGAGACUAGCUCCUACUACUGAUGAAACCAGACACCUCUCCUAUGUCAACUACUACUGUGCAUUCGGCUCAUCUAACUCAAGAUAUCCCUCCGCUAUGGCAACUCAUUCUUUCAUUCCUACUUAUUAGUUUGCGAAUACAGAGGACUUGGUUAUAAUUUAUUAAUAACUUCAGGAACACUAGCUUAAGGAGUUCUUAAGUGAUAAACAAGAUAGAUUGAAGCUAUACUGACUCAGUGGACACCAUGUAUAAGAAAUGACAUAUAAAUGACAUAUAAAUUCAUUCUCUCUUUAGAAAGGAUAAAAGACAGAUUAAACAAGGAGGCAAGCAACGUGGUAAGGCCACUCAUCUCCCCCGGACUGCCGCGUCACCAUUAAUAAAGGGCACUGUAACUAAUACUAAGGCAUUGGGUGUUCUUCCACUCCGAUAUAACUACUAUUAACUAAGGGAACCCUGUCUUCUGUCUGGCUAGGCUCAUUCUGAGCUUAACACAAGUAACACUUUCCUAGACUUAAGCUUAUGCUCUUUUCACUUAGCAGCCCAGCAGCUCCCUUACUACUUGAGGGAAUCAGUGGGAGUAGCUGAAGUCUGGUUGUUACUGCUUUAAGUCAGGUUGCUCCUUGCUAAUGACAGGGAAUUGGUGGUCAAGAGAGAAGACUGUGUAGCUAUAGGCACUGUUUGAUUCUAAGAUUGACUUGUUCCAUUAUGGGUUGUACUCGUUUCAACUCUUGGAUGAGCUGGUUGGAGUCUAUCACUGCCAGGCAUCAGCCUGUAACUCACUUGUUUAGGUCUGGUUGUUGCUGGGUUAAGGCUUAGAGUCAGGUGUUUGGCUCUGAGUUUCACUGGUUAGAUUAUUGUUGUUAAUGCUUUCAGGCUUGUUGCUGGGUGUUUCGGGCUUGUUAGCACUGUAUUAAGUCUUGCGCCGUUGCUUGGCCCUUUCUUUUUGCUAACAACCAGGCGUCAGUGGGCAAUAACGAUGGAUAUUAGCACAGCGACUGAUUGCUCAGGAGAACGCUUCAAAACAUAUACUAGGGAGAAAUGUCACCUAUAUACUAGGGAGAAAUAGAACCUAUCGCUCGUGAUCAUAGACUAGUAGCUUACUCGCAACAGACAAGCAAUACGGGAAACGAGAUCAAAAAGACAGAUUGGAAUGACUGAUACUUGGUACUUACUGAAUGCUUUCAUCCACUUUGAUGUCUCUUGCCGACUCUGAACUCAUCUUGUUCUGUUAAAGAUAAGAGUCUUGCUUUGCUUCUUUUGGUGGUGCACUAUUUGAGCCAAUAGGAUCUUUUGAUUAGUAUAUUGCGAUACGAAUGAAUACAGUUUCGUUUUAGGCAGGGAUAGAUUUCUCAUUACGCUCUAUUUGGAUGGAUCAAAUUCCCAUAAUAGAUUUCUUGACUUGGGAGCCCUCUCGUUAGAAAUCCCCAGUUCGAAAGUUCAGGGGUGGCUAAACCAGCUAGUUGAAGUCUUCCGCUUUUUUCCCUGUGGAGCUUGUUGGAAUGAGUUUGGAUGCCCUUCCUUCCAUUGGUUAGGUAUGUCUGGCUCUACUUUGAUUCCCUUAAGCCCUUGAAAAACUCCUUUCCCCUAAAGAGAGAAAGAAUGAGAGAAGAACGCCUAUUCCCCCGAGUGACUCGAAAGGGGGUCUUGGGCGAGAGACUCCGUGGUUGAGUUGCCUUCUUUUUCCUUCCUGACUCCUUAGCUUAUGGAUUGGCUGGAUAAUUGCUUGCCGAACGAAAAGCUUGCUACUACUUUGGAUCCUUUCUGUCUAUUCACUAUUUCCGUCUAUUCACUAGUUGUUUGUUCAUCUGCUUGUAAAUUCUGGACAUACUCCCUACAAGAAAUGAUUCAUUAGGUAGGUGGAGACGCGCCCUUUUUCUGAAAUGGGUUCCGGUUCAUUGGCUAUUUCGAACUUCCCCCUUUUUCACUCGCCCUCUGAGUUAUGUUAUUAUCAAGAACCCCGGAAAACGAAAGACAAUUGUGCACCGCUAUUACCUAUAAUUAAUGAAACCUUUUGAUCUUAUUUCUUUUCUGGAAAUAAACAAAGUAUCUUCCAUUCAUGAAAAGGGAAACCGGGUUGGGUUCCCUUCGUGGGAGACCGACUACGCUAGCCUUAUUGUUAGGAUUGUCAUGGCACUAAAGACGGAAAAGGUCCUUUAUCCACCCGGAGCAAAGCUUGGCUCCUUAAAAAGAAAUAGCUCUCUAGCCGCCUUAUUCAUCGCCGUAUUCACAUGGACUGUUCACGUGGUGAGAACUACGGACAUUGUCAAUAACCUUCCAAACUAUAGGAUACCAAAAUACGGUGCGGGCGGAAGGCUCGCUACACUUAUGGGACCAGAGCAUCCACCAAGCUUCAAAGCCAAAAGUACUAUACACAAAACGGAGAUGAGCUGAACCGAAGAUCCUUAAGGAGUAUAUGUAAGCUUGAUCAAGGCAGAAUUACUUGACUCGUUAGGUAUCCCGAUGAAUAUCGGCGAAUCCACGAUUUGGGCGAUCGGAGCAAGGGCAUUGACCCUUCUGAGUCUCCUAAGUCCCCUAGCUCUUCAAGGUAUCCGUUUCGAAACUGCCAAUUGUCUUUAUAUGAACGAAAUCGGUUCUUACUUGUUGUGAAACUCAAGAUGGGAGAAAUCCCUAGACAAAGGGUUCAUGUAGCAAACAAAAGGGUCGAAGCGGUAACUAACUGUACUUACUAGUAUAGGAUGCAAUGCUAAGAAAUAGCUGAUGGCUUUGUUCGUAAGCAGUAAGGAAGCAAGUGUAGCGAAUUGUCAAACUCAUGACAUUCAGGGAUGGGAUUCGAGGCAUGAAAUCGAAGGUACUCUAGAUCGAUCUUCUUUUCUUCCACCCGAAACAAGAAAAAGUAGAAACUCCUAUACGAAAGAGAAAAAGAGUAUUAGCUCCACGAAAAAGGUAGUUACAAAGAGUAUUAGCGAAUAAGGUAGUAUCACUCGGUACCAGAUUACCCUCGGUUAGGUAUUCAAUGACUCUUUAUAUAGUCGAGUUAUUAUUUACCUUUAUUACGGGUCAUCAAGAUCGAACUAAAAGCUCGUAGCUUUCGCAUUCCUCUUCCUGCUCUUUAGAGUAAAGAAAGGGGUUGUAGUCCAUAGCCCGAAGGUGCUCAUUGAGCCGGUCUCCGGGUGGCGCUCAUUCCUCUCGUUUUCAUUCUCUCAUGAAACUUGUAAGUAAGGUAAGCUUUUCACCAAAAAAAGAAAGAAAAAAACGUGCUUGCUGCAAAUUCAGAAAAUCCUUUUGAAGAGUGACAACUGUUACGAUUUCUCUGCAGUAACUAGUGAACUUCAAAGAACUGUAUCAAAUCUAUACUUCCAGAGUAGUAAUCCUCUUGGAAAUAAAGCUAACCUGAGAAGAAUAUCUUAUAAGAGCGGUUGAAAGUGGCACAGUUACUAAAUACCAAAAAUAGGCUAGAAUGACCUAGAAACCAGACGUUGCAGAGUACUCCGAGAUCAAGUUCUGCAAACAACGAGUUUCUACUAAGAACGAGUUUAUACUCAUGAAAGUUAAGGAUAGCACAUAAGGGCUCCCUGCACUUUGAUUCCUACGAUCGAUGUGAUUCCUCGUUAGAAGCUUAUUCAGAGGUGGAGGUGUAGCUGGAAGUCCGGCCUAUUCCUAAAAUCCAAAGGAAGGCUUUACGACUAGCCUCUACAAGCAUAUAAAUUGAAGUUGCUAAGGGCCUGUGGAUGCCUUAGGGGGAAAGCUAUCCUGUACAAGAAUCAGAUUGAUCUUUCGAAACUGAGGUGACGGAGCGGAAAGGGGCAAGUGAAAGGAUAGUUCGAAAGGCUGACUAACUACCUAAUAUCUUUCUCUGUGGACUGGAGUCUUCACUAAUCUAGUAGAAUCCGCGGGUCACAUCACUAAACUAAGCUAUUUCACGCUUUGGUUCGACUCGUUCGUUACCUAGUUAUGAGCUUGACUGGUGCUAUACGACGAAGCCGAUCUGUCCAAGUAGGAUGAAGGGUAGACUUCUAUACUUGACUCUGGCUUGCUCUGUUCAGUGCCAUAUUAGAGUGACUUUAUACGGGUGUGUUAUCCGGCCUUACUGAAAGGAAAAACUCUCUAACAAGUCUACCCGGAAUGGGAGGGACCUCAAACUCCUAACAGGAGGGCAACCAUUACCUUUAUACAAAAAGCAAAAUCCAAGACUACCAGAAAACUAAGGCGCUACCAUACCAAGCAAGCUUUCCUAUUCCUAUUGCCCGUACAAAACCUAAAGCACCAACAGCGGGAGACGAGACAUCUCUUUCAUUCAAAGAAACCCAGGGCAAUCGAGAUUCACAAAAGAUUGGAAGACAUCUCUUUCAUUCAAAGAAAACCAAGGCAAUCGAGAUUCACAAAAGAUUGGAAUGAAUGUCAUAAUAUCAAUUCGAUUAAGCCGGACUUCUCCUAUCUCUUAGCAGCGUGAACUCUUCUUCUAUUAUUCUCUUUCUAGUUAGAGAGAGAUCAGUCCUUUAACGCGAUCAAUUACAACUAUUCAAAUUCCAUGUUGAUGAUAGCACCAAACCUUCACCAAAGCGGAUUCACCGGAUUCAACAAACACAUUCCAAGUGGCAUUAGCGCUUCCACUGCUUCCUUCAUACUACUUCACUCUACUUUUCUAUUUUCCUUAUGAGCUAUCCGAAGGGGCAUUCCUCCUAAUUGCUUCUUGCUAGCACCGGAAAUGUCACUCAUUUUAUGCCAUCGGUCUAUGGCUUCCUUUCCUUGUGAAUAUGGCUACUGUUGCUAUUCUUCGCAUCUAAGAAAGUAAGGACGUUCAAUAGGGUAACUCCAUCUUGCAAGUGAACUAAAGGCUAGGCAAAAUCAUGCCUUUGCUCGAAGGCCUUGUUCUGUACUGUAGCAAAAGAAUAAGCUUUGGGAAGAAACGCUCCUUGAACGGAGAGGAAGCAAAGCAGGCUAACGAAACCUAGGGAAACCCAGGAAAAGAAGACCCCUUGGCAUAGAAGCAGUGAAAGAAGAGGCUGUUGGAGGAAGAACCCUUCUUAGAGUUUCUAGUAUCAGGUCUUAAUGGCACAUCAGUAACCGUUGUGAACGUAGGAUUCCAAAGCCAGCCUAUCGAUCAUUGAACUAUAUAGUUUAGUAAUAAAGCUUUGUCUUAAUAAGCCUGAUGUCUAGCUCUGCACACGGUGGGCAUUAAAGAAAUCCCAUCUUUCUGUUCUUUAUCAGUGUAGAUCUAAUCAGAUAAGUUUCUCAGUGAAAAGAUCUAAUCAGAUAAGGGGAAUUGCUUUAUCCCGCAUGUAACGAAGACUCUGGUUUAGCUCAGUCACUCGAGAAAGUUGGACAACUGUAAUAUAGUCUACCCACUCCAUUGACAACGGAUGAAACUACCCAUUCUUAUUUUCGGGCUACUUUCAAGCUCUCCUUUGCCACUGCAUGACUAGAGCAGAUCACACAGACAUACAAAAAUACUCAAAACGAAAUAAGAUGAAAAUAGUGUUGUGUUUGGUAAUAAUAAGGAAGAGUCAGCUGCUUACGAGUCUGCUAGAAAGACUGUUUUGCACUUUAUUCCCGUUGGCAUAGCUAGACGAUCUUAACUCUAUCGAUUCCUUGGAAAAAAGACCCAUUUGCUUUGAUAUGACCAGGUCAAUCGACCUAUACACCUGCAUACCGUAGCUUGUCUACCCGCAGAAGAUAGUAGUCCCAUUCUAGAUUCAUUCCUCAAUCGCAGCAGGCAGAUCUUCUUACUAAUAGAUGAUUUCAAGCCCUUCUCUGCCUCUAUUCCACCCUGCGCCUUGAACCCGAAAUAGGAAAAGCGGGAGAG
rnacentral:lncRNA from 1 species